UGAGUAACGCGUGGGUAACCUGCCUUAUACAGGGGGAGUAACAGUCAGAAAUGGCUGCUAAUACCGCAUAAGCGCACAGAGCUGCAUGGCUCAGUGUGAAAAACUCCGGUGGUAUAAGAUGGACCCGCGUUGGAUUAGCUUGUUGGCAGGGUAACGGCCUACCAAGGCGACGAUCCAUAGCCGGCCUGAGAGGGUGAACGGCCACAUUGGGACUGAGACACGGCCCAAACUCCUACGGGAGGCAGCAUGC
rnacentral:rRNA from 1 species